GCNGGUUCUAUUUUGUUGGUUAUGGACCGCCGUAAUGAUUAAUAGGGACAAUCGGGGGAAUUCGUAUUCAAUCGUCAGAGGUGAAAUUCUUGGAUCGAUUGAAGACGCACUACUGCGAAAGCAUCUUCCAAGGGUGUUUUCAUUAAUCAGGAACGAAAGUUAGGGGAUCAAAAACGAUCAGAUACCGUUGUAGUCUUAACCGUAAACUAUGCGAACUGGGGAUCGGAUGGUGUCGACUGACCCAUUCGGCACCCUGUGCGAAAGUACUAGUUUCUGCGUUCCGGGGGGAGUAUGGUCGCAAGGCUGAAACUUAAAGAAAUUGACGGAAGGGCACCACCAGGAGUGGAGCCUGCGGCUUAAUUUGACUCAACACGGGGAAACUCACCAGGUCCAGACACAAGAAGGAUUGACAUAUUAAAGCUGUUUCAUGAUUUUGUGGGUGGUGGUGCAUGGCCGUUCUUAGUUGGUGGAGUGAUUUGUCUGCCUAAUCGCGAUAACGAACGAGACCUUAACCUCCAAAUAGCCGCUAUUACUUCGGUAGUAGUCAGGCUUCUUAGAGGGACUAUCUGCUUAAGCAGAUGGAAGUUUGAGGCAAUAACAGGUCUGUGAUGCCCUUAGAUGUUCUGGGCCGCACGGUAAGCUCAUCCAACUACAUAACCUCUUUUAACUCCGUAACCAAUACUAACUUUCUAUAGCGCGUUACACUGAUAGAAGCAACAAGUUCCUUGACCGAAAGGUCCGGGCAAACCCCAAAUUCUAUCGUGCUGGGGAUAGAGCAUUGCAAUAAUCC
rnacentral:rRNA from 1 species